GUAGCAAUAUCUCCUGAUUGUGUAUGCCAGCUGUGUUCCAUACGAUUGUAUCCCAAAAGCAUAGGCUCAUUAUUCAGAAAAUUAUGCUCCGUUGUCCCAUAUGCCAUUGCCCUUAAGCAGAGUAUUUGUGGUUUGGCAUAUCCAUCCACGCUCACAUUCGAAUGCCAGCAAACCCCGAUGUAAUGUAAGA
rnacentral:misc_RNA from 1 species